rnacentral:rRNA from 1 species
GACGAACGCUGGCGGCGUGCUUAACACAUGCAAGUCGAACGGUAGGGCCCUUCGGGGUACACGAGUGGCGAACGGGUGAGUAACACGUGGGUGAUCUGCCCUGCACUUCGGGAUAAGCCCGGGAAACUGGGUCUAAUACCGGAUAGGACUCCGGACUGCAUGGUCUGGGGUGGAAAGCUGUUGGGGUGUGGGGUGGGCUCGCGGCCUAUCAGCUUGUGGGGGGGGUGAUGGCCUACCAAGGGGACGACGGGUAGCCGGCCUGAGAGGGUGACCGGCCACACUGGGACUGAGAUACGGCCCAGACUCCUACGGGAGGCAGCAGUGGGGAAUAUUGCACAAUGGGCGCAAGCCUGAUGCAGCGACGCCGCGUGAGGGAUGACGGCCUUCGGGUUGUAAACCUCUUUCAGCAUCGACGAAGCGAAAGUGACGGUAGGUGCAGAAGAAGGACCGGCCAACUACGUGCCAGCCGCCGCCGUAA